rnacentral:rRNA from 1 species
CCUACGGGGGGCAGCAGUGAGGAAUAUUGGUCAAUGGGCGGAAGCCUGAACCAGCCAAGUAGCGUGCAGGAUGACGGCCCUAUGGGUUGUAAACUGCUUUUAUCCGGGAAUAACGCGCCCUACGUGUAGGGCUCUGCAUGUACCGUAUGAAUAAGGAUCGGCUAAUUCCGUGCCAGCAGCCGCGGUAAUACGGAAGGUGCGGGCGUUAUCCGGAUUUAUUGGGUUUAAAGGGUGCGCAGGCGGAUGUUUAAGUCAGCGGUCAAAUCGUGGGGCUCAACCCCAUCCAGCCGUUGAAACUGGGGUUCUAGAGUGUGCGAGAGGUAUGCGGAAUGCGUGGUGUAGCGGUGAAAUGCAUAGAUAGCACGCAGAACCCCGAUUGCGAAGGCAGCAUACCGGUGCACAACUGACGCUCAGGCACGAAAGCGUGGGUAUCGAACAGGAUUAGAUACCCGGGUAGUC